rnacentral:piRNA from 1 species
UCCAGGCUGCAGGAACUGAGACG